AGUGAACGCUGGCGGCAGGCCUAACACAUGCAAGUCGAGCGGCAGCGGGUCCCCGCGAGGGGAUGCCGGCGAGCGGCGGACGGGUGAGGAACACAUCGGAAUCUGCCUGGUUGUGGGGGAUAACGUAGGGAAACUUACGCUAAUACCGCAUGAGACCCUGAGUCGACGGACUGGGGGUGAAAGUGAGGGACCUUCGGGCCUCACGCGACCAGAUGAGCCGAUGUCGGAUUAGCUAGUUGGCGGGGUAACGGCCCGCCAAGGCGACGAUCCGUAGCUGGUCUGAGAGGAUGAUCAGCCACACUGGGACUGAGACACGGCCCAGACUCCUACGGGAGGCAGCA
rnacentral:rRNA from 1 species